rnacentral:rRNA from 1 species
ACGAACGCUGGCGGCAGGCUUCAUACAUGCAAGUCGAGCGGAAAGGCCCCUUCGGGGGUACUCGAGCGGCGAACGGGUGAGUAACAGGUGGGUAAUCUGCCUUUCGGAGGGGGAUAACGGCUGGAAACGGCCGCUAAUACCCCGUACGGUUGCGAAGCUCUCGGGCUUUGCAAAGAAAGGGGCCUUUAAAGCCCCGCCGAAAGAUGAGCCCGCCCCCCAUUAGCUAGUUGGCGGGGUAAUGGCCCACCAAGGCUGUGAUGGGUAGCCGAGCUGAGAGGUUGAUCGGCCACACUGGAACUGAGACACGGUCCAGACACCUACGGGUGGCAGCAGUAGGGAAUAUUGCGCAAUGGGCGAAAGCCUGACGCAGCCAUGCCGCGUGGAUGAUGAAGGCCUUCGGGUCGUAAAGUCCUUUUCUGAGGGAAGAACUGCCGGGGGAGGAAAUGCCCUUGGCUUGACGGUACCUCAGGAAUAAGCAACGGCUAACUCCGUG